rnacentral:rRNA from 1 species
CCUGGCUCAGGAUGAACGCUAGCGACAGGCCUAACACAUGCAAGUCAGGGGCAGCACAGGAGCAAUCUGAGGUGGCGACCGGCGCACGGGUGAGUAACACGUAUGCAACCUGCCUGUAAGCGGGGAAUAACCCGUUGAAAGACGGACUAAUACCGCAUAAUACUAAAUUACUGCAUGGUAAUUUAUUUAAACAUUUAUGGCUUACAGAUGGGCAUGCGCAUGAUUAGCUAGUUGGAGAGGUAACGGCUCCCCAAGGCAACGAUCAUUAGGGGUCUGAGAGGAAGGUCCCCCACACUGGUACUGAGACACGGACCAGACUCCUACGGGAGGCAGCAGUGAGGAAUAUUGGUCAAUGGACGAGAGUCUGAACCAGCCAAGUCGCGUGCAGGAAGAAUUGUCCUAUGGAUUGUAAACUGCUUUUGCAGGGGAAUAAAGUGCGUCACGUGUGAUGUUUUGUAUGUACUCUGCGAAUAAGGAUCGGCUAACUCCGUGCCAGCCGCCGC